rnacentral:piRNA from 1 species
UGGCUUCCCAUACAUACACACAUCCUCAGG